rnacentral:sRNA from 1 species
GCCGGGCUUGGUGGCACAUGCCUGUAAUCCCAAUAGUUCGGGAGGCUGAGGCAGGAGGAUUGUGAGUUCAAAUCCAGCCUCAG